rnacentral:rRNA from 1 species
UACAGAGGAGCCAAGCGUUGUCCGGAUUGACUGGGCGUAAAGCGCACGCAGGCGGUUGCGCGCGUGGGGUGUGAAAUCUGGCCGCUUAACGGCCAGGCGCCAUCCCAUACGGCGCGACUGGAGUGAUGCAGAGGUCGAUGGAAUUGCCGGUGUAGUGGUGAAAUGCGUAGAGAUCGGCAGGAACACCCAGGGGGGAAACCAGUCGACUGGGCAUCUACUGGACGCUGAGGUGCGAGGAGCGUGGGGGAGCGAACCGG